rnacentral:rRNA from 1 species
AUUGCCCUAGUAACGGCGAGUGAAGCGGCAACAGCUCAAAUUUGAAAUCUGGCCUUCUGGUCCGAGUUGUAAUUUGUAGAGGAUGAUUUUGGUUAGGUACCUUCCGAGUUCCUUGGAACAGGACGCCUUAGAGGGUGAGAGCCCCGUACGGUUGGAUGCCGAGCCUUUGUAAAUCUCCUUCGACGAGUCGAGUAGUUUGGGAAUGCUGCUCUAAAUGGGAGGUAAAUUUCUUCUAAAGCUAAAUACCGGCCAGAGACCGAUAGCGCACAAGUAGAGUGAUCGAAAGAUGAAAAGCACUUUGAAAAGAGGGUUAAAUAGUACGUGAAAUUGUUGAAAGGGAAGGAUUUAUGACCAGACCUUUGCCUUGCGGAUCAUCCGGUGUUCUCACCGGUGCACUUCGCUUGGUUGAGGCCAGCAUCAGUUUUGGCGGCGGGAUAAAGACUUCAGGAACGUGACUCCCCCGGGAGUGUUAUAGCCUGCUGUGUAAUACCGCCGCUGGGACUGAGGACCGCGCUUCGGCUAGGAUGCUGGCAUAAUGGUCAUCAAUCACCCGUCUUGAAACACGGACCAAGGAGUCGAACAUUUAUGCGAGUUUUUGGGUGUUAAACCCUCAAGCGUAAUGAAAGUGAACGGAGGUGAGAGCCCUUACGGGUGCAUCAUCGACCGAUCCUGAUGUCUUCGGAUGGAUUUGAGUAAGAGCAUAACUGUUCGGACCCGAAAGAUGGUGAACUAUGCGUGGAUAGGGUGAAGCCAGAGGAAACUCUGGUGGAGGCUCGCAGCGGUUCUGACGUGCAAAUCGAUCGUCAAAUCUGCGCAUGGGGCGAAAGACUAAUCGAACCAUCU